rnacentral:rRNA from 1 species
UGCUCCAGAAUAGCUCUUGGAAACGGGUGGUAAUGCUGGAUGCUCCAACUUGACGCAUGUCUUGUUGGGAAAGUGUUUAGUGGCAUGGGAUGGGGUCGCGUCCUAUCAGCUUGUAGGCGGGGUAAUGGCCCACCUAGGCUUCGACGGGUAGCCGGCCUGAGAGGGCGGACGGCCACAUUGGGACUGAGAUACGGCCCAGACUCCUACGGGAGGCAGCAGGC